rnacentral:rRNA from 1 species
UCCAGACUCCUACGGGAGGCAGCAGUGGGGGAUAUUGGACAAUGGGGGGAACCCUGAUCCAGCGACGCCGCGUGAGUGAAGAAGUAUCUCGGUAUGUAAAGCUCUAUCAGCAGGGAAGAAGAAAUGACGGUACCUGAGUAAGAAGCUCCGGCUAACUAUGUGCCAGCAGCCGCGGUAAUACAUAGGGAGCAAGCGUUAUCCGGAUUUAUUGGGUGUAAAGGGUGCGUAGACGGGAAAUUAAGUUAGUUGUGAAAUCCCUCGGCUUAACUGAGGAACUGCAACUAAAACUGAUUUUCUUGAGUACUGGAGAGGAAAGUGGAAUUCCUAGUGUAGCGGUGAAAUGCGUAGAUAUUAGGAGGAACACCAGUGGCGAAGGCGACUUUCUGGACAGUAACUGACGUUGAGGCACGAAAGUGUGGGGAGCAAACAGGAUUAGAUACCCCUGUA